CUUAUAUUGCUAUUUUUUAUAUUCCACUCACAGCACUCAAGAUGGAUUUGAUUUAAUAUGCAGUAGUCUCAUGUGUCCAGGAGCCACCAAGUCCUCUGUGGAUGCAUUAUAAAAGUGACUAGCUAGGGAAAAUAGGACAUGAGUGGCAUUUCUGGAAGUCCUCUCUUCUAGUAAGGAGCAGGCUGCAGAACAUCUGGAAAACCUAAGCAAAUGUGCAAAAUUCUUAAACUUUGCCAGGGCAAGAUCUUGAGUGAAGAAACAAGAACGUGUUUGGAAAAACCCAGAUGUAUGAUAGCAUUAAAUAUAAUAAUACAAUCUCAUAGGCGAAUAAAAUAACAUCGCUCUCUCCCUUUCUUGUUAUAUAUUUUUUUCCUGUCGUUUUAUAGGCAAAUAUCCCCACCCUUUUUUUUAUUUUUAUUUAUUUAUUUUAUUUAUUUAUUUAUUAUUUAUUUUAUUUUUUAUUUAUUUUUUAUUUUAUUAUUUUUUUUAAGAUGAUGAUGGUGAGAUCAUGGAGCUGGUGCAAGGGAGGAAAAGUUCUUUGGGCAUCUUGCCUGCUGCAUGAAAUGAGACUACUGAUGGGGUCCCAACAAGGAGCAGGGAGCCUGCAACUUUCUGAGGAAAGAGCCUGAUGCAAUGGGGAACUGCCGGCUGACUUUCAAGGGAAACAUACAAGCCAACCCUAGGAACAGAUGGGAGAGAGGAGAGCACAAGGUACCUGGAAUGGUGUCCUAGAAGGGGAGAAACGAGCUCCUGGCAGCAGGAUGGAACAGGGCUGGCUGAGGUUUGUUUCAGAUUCUAUCCGCUUGUAUAUCAGUAGAGACAGAGCCUUGUGGUGUGAAAAAGUCUGGUGGAUGGACAGAGUUUUGAAAGUGCCUGCUAUCAGCUUUAUCACUUCACAAAAGAAGGAGUUGAAAGAAAGCAGCAACUUUUGUAAGUGUUGCUGAUCUUUGAUGUUCUGGCUUACCUGGCUUCCCAAGGGCCUUGUCUAAGUGUCGGUGUCAUUCUCUCCCGUUCUUAUUUUACCAAGUGUAUUUUAGAAUGAAUGGGAGUCAAAUACAUGUAGUAUAAAAACAGAAGAGGAACAUUGUCUUUCAGCUGUACUUCAGGGAAGCCUUACUUUUAA
rnacentral:lncRNA from 1 species